ensembl:lncRNA
CUAAACUGCAAAACACAUAUAGCCCAAAGGUUUUAGAUAGGCUGUGGGGCUGCACUGAGAGUCUGCUGCUGCAGUUAAACUCCUGCCUGCUCUUUGAACCACUGAUGAGUUGGACUGGAAGGACCCCAGGGGCUGUGUUCUGAUCAGUGAGUGGGGUCUGGAAAUAGUUUGAAACAGACAUUUCUGGUGUUCAGUUUGAAUGCAGCUCCUGCUGCCCCUGAGACGUUUGCCUCCUGUCGCAGCCUAAUUAUCCAGUGUUCACAGUGUCUGCCUCAUUUGCCUUUGCCUGGGUUUCUCAUUCUCACUGCAUUUCCCUUCUAGGCCUGAAUUUUAACCCUACUUUGCAAAUCUGCUUUCCUGAGUUUUGUUUCUAUCAACCCCUUUCUCCCGGACUGCACCUGGCUUCCUAUAUCACUUACAUCGACUCUGCUCAGCAUGCAGAUCUGUGACUCAGGGCUCAAGUUUCCGCCCUGGCCUGUCUCAGGCCUGUGUUGUGUUCUCUCUGACACUCAGAUCCUGAGAGUUGGAUACAGGGUCUUCCGUGGAGAGCUUCUCGGUGUGGAUUCUGAUCAUCAUUAGAGUUGCUGAGGGCAUAUGUUUUGGACUUUUCUUGCCUGAUUUGUGAGAUUCUGCUGACAUCCAGGAAAGUGCUGCAAAAAAAACCUGUUGCUCAUAUCCAAGCUUAUGUGUUUCGUGGCAGAGCCACGAGCACUGAGCUCAAGUUUCUUGACAACAAGUCUUAUUUAUGGAGAAACAAACAUAGGCGGUAUUUCGUGGGACCAUGCUGUUCUCUUUCUUUGGAGCUUAGAAUUGAAGAAAACGUAUGGAUGUGAGAGUUGGACUGUGAAGAAGGCUGAGCACCGAAGAAUUGAUGCUUUUGAACUGUGGUGUUGGAGAAGACUCUUGAGAGUCCCUUGGACUGCAAGGAGAUCCAACCAGUCCAUUCUAAAGGAGAUCAGAAGGGUGUUCUUUGAAAGGACUGAUGCUGAAGCUGAAACUCUAAUACUUUGGCCACCUAUUGUGAAGAGUUGACUCGUUGGAAAAGACCCUGAUGCUGGGAAAGAUUGAGGGCAGGAGGAGAAGGGGACGACAGAGGAUGAGAUGGCUGGAUGGCAUCACCAACUCAAUGGACGUGAGUCUGAGUGAACUCCGGGAGUUAGUGAUGGACAGGGAGGCCUGGUGUGCUGCGAUUCAUGGGGUCGCAAAGAGUUGGACGCGACUGAGCAACUGAACUGAACUGAACUGGACUGAACGCUUUACUUGGUCAUUUAAGUGUAUGGUGGCUGGUGUUUGUGGAUUUAUUCAUUUUGGAGAUGCUCUGUUUGCUUUUUUGCUAAUUCUAAUUCAGAGUUACGAAUCCUGCUUUCAUUUUCUUCUCUGUUACUUUGUGCUUGCAACUUCUUUCUGAUUUUCCUAGGUAUGAAAAAGAGAAAUCUUGAGAUACGCAUCAAAACAACACCAAACAGAAACACAGUUGUGCAAAGCAGAGAGGCCUCAUUAAAGUUGUGUUUUUUUUAAGUUACUUAAAAAUCAAGAAUGACCUUAUAAAUAAUUAUAAAUAUAAUAAAAGAUAUAAUAAUAAAUCUAAUAAAAGAAUG